AAAGGAAUAGACGGGGACCCGCACAAGCAGCGGAGCAUGUGGUUUAAUUCGAAGCAACGCGAAGAACCUUACCUGGACUUGACAUCCCUUGGACCGCUUUGUAAUGAAAGCUUUCCCUUCGGGGACCAAGGAGACAGGUGGUGCAUGGUUGUCGUCAGCUCGUGUCGUGAGAUGUUGGGUUAAGUCCCGCAACGAGCGCAACCCUUGUCUUUAGUUGCCAUCAAGUAAAGUUGGGCACUCUAGAGAGACUGCCGGGGAUAACUCGGAGGAAGGUGGGGAUGACGUCAAAUCAUCAUGCCCCUUAUGUCCAGGGCUACACACGUGCUACAAUGGCCGAUACAAAGGGAAGCGAAAGAGUAAUCUGAAGCCAAUCUCAUAAAGUCGGUCACAGUUCGGAUUGUGGGCUGCAACUCGCCCACAUGAAGUCGGAGUUGCUAGUAAUCGCAAAUCAGAAUGUUGCGGUGAAUGCGUUCCCGGGUCUUGUACACACCGCCCGU
rnacentral:rRNA from 1 species